rnacentral:siRNA from 1 species
GCCGGCGAUGCGUCCUGGUC